rnacentral:rRNA from 1 species
UACGAGGGGGGCAAAUGUUGUUCGGAAUCACUGGGCGUAAAGGGAGCGUAGGCGGGUGUUUAAGUUAGGUGUUUAAUUCCGGGGCCCAACCCCGGGCGUGCACUUAAAACUGGACAUCUUGAAUAGGGGAGAGGUCAGUGGAAUUGGAGGUGUAGCGGUGGAAUGCGUAGAGAUCUCCAAGAACACCAGUUGCGAAGGCGGCUGACUGGACCCAUAUUGACGCUGAGGCUCGAAAGCAUGGGGAGCAAACAGG